UGCAAGUCGAGCGGAAACGAAGAGUAGCUUGCUACUCUGCUGACGAGCGGCGGACGGGUGAGUAAUGCUUGGGAAUAUGCCUUAUGGUGGGGGACAACAGUUGGAAACGACUGCUAAUACCGCAUGAUGUCUACGGACCAAAGUGGGGGACCUUCGGGCCUCACGCCAUAAGAUUAGCCCAAGUGGGAUUAGCUAGUUGGUGAGGUAAUGGCUCACCAAGGCGACGAUCCCUAGCUGGUUUGAGAGGAUGAUCAGCCACACUGGGACUGAGACACGGCCCAGACUCCUACGGGAGGCAGCAGUGGGGAAUAUUGCACAAUGGGCGCAAGCCUGAUGCAGCCAUGCCGCGUGUGUGAAGAAGGCCUUCGGGUUGUAAAGCACUUUCAGUAAGGAGGAAAGGUUAAGUGUUAAUAGCACUUAGCUGUGACGUUACUUACAGAAGAAGCACCGGCUAACUCCGUGCCAGCAGCCGCGGUAAUACGGAGGGUGCGAGCGUUAAUCGGAAUUACUGGGCGUAAAGCGUACGCAGGCGGUUUGUUAAGCGAGAUGUGAAAGCCCCGGGCUCAACCUGGGAACUGCAUUUCGAACUGGCAAACUAGAGUGUGAUAGAGGGUGGUAGAAUUUCAGGUGUAGCGGUGAAAUGCGUAGAGAUCUGAAGGAAUACCGAUGGCGAAGGCAGCCACCUGGGUCAACACUGACGCUCAUGUACGAAAGCGUGGGGAGCAAACAGGA
rnacentral:rRNA from 1 species